rfam:Camelus ferus unplaced genomic scaffold scaffold1250, whole genome shotgun sequence.
GUGGGUAUAGCUCAGUGGUAGAGUGUAUGCUUAGCAAGCACGAGGUCCUGGGUUUGAUCCCCCGCACCCCCA